GGGGGGAGCAAGCGUUGUUCGGAAUCACUGGGCGUAAAGGGCGUGUAGGCGGUCGAGUAAGUGGGAUGUGAAAUCCCCCGGCUUACCCGGGGACCGGCAUCUCAAACUGCUCGGCUAGAGUAUGGGAGAGGAUGAGGGAAUUCCUGGUGUAGCGGUGAAAUGCGUAGAUAUCAGGAGGAACACCGGUGGCGAAAGCGCUCAUCUGGCCCAAUACUGACGCUGAGGCGCGAAAGCUAGGGGAGCAAACGGGAUUAGAUACCCCGGUAGUCCUAGCCGUAAACGGUGAGCACUAGGUGUUGGAGGCAUCGACCCCUCCAGUGCCGCAGCUAACGCAUUAAGUGCUCCGCCUGGGGAGUACGGCCGCAAGGUUGAA
rnacentral:rRNA from 1 species